rnacentral:tRNA from 1 species
AGUCCCGAGGUGUUUUCAUAUCAGAUUGCAAAUCUGAAGGAGUAGGCUAGCGUCUACCGGGGCUU